GAACGAAGCACUUAUCUUUGAUUCUUCGGAUGAAGAGGUUUGUGACUGAGUGGCGGACGGGUGAGUAACGCGUGGGUAACCUGCCUCAUACAGGGGGAUAACAGUUAGAAAUGACUGCUAAUACCGCAUAAGACCACGGAGCCGCAUGGCUCAGUGGGAAAAACUCCGGUGGUAUGAGAUGGACCCGCGUCUGAUUAGGUAGUUGGUGGGGUAACGGCCUACCAAGCCAACGAUCAGUAGCCGACCUGAGAGGGUGACCGGCCACAUUGGGACUGAGACACGGCCCAAACUCCUACGGGAGGCAGCAGUGGGGAAUAUUGCACAAUGGGGGAAACCCUGAUGCAGCGACGCCGCGUGAGCGAAGAAGUAUUUCGGUAUGUAAAGCUCUAUCAGCAGGGAAGAAAAUGACGGUACCUGACUAAGAAGCACCGGCUAAAUACGUGCCAGCAGCCGCGGUAAUACGUAUGGUGCAAGCGUUAUCCGGAUUUACUGGGUGUAAAGGGAGCGUAGACGGCUGUGUAAGUCUGAAGUGAAAGCCCGGGGCUCAACCCCGGGACUGCUUUGGAAACUAUGCAGCUAGAGUGUCGGAGAGGUAAGUGGAAUUCCCAGUGUAGCGGUGAAAUGCGUAGAUAUUGGG
rnacentral:rRNA from 1 species